CUAAGUUUGAUGGCGACCGGCGCACGGUGAGUAACACGUGUCCAACCUGCCGAUGACUCGGGGAUAGCCUUUCGAAAGAAAGAUUAAUACCCGAUGGCAUAGUUCUUCCGCAUGGUGGAACUAUUAAAGAAUUUCGGUCAUCGAUGGGGAUGCGUUCCAUUAGGUUGUUGGCGGGGUAACGGCCCACCAAGCCUUCGAUGGAUAGGGGUUCUGAGAGGAAGGUCCCCCACAUUGGAACUGAGACACGGUCCAAACUCCUACGGGAGGCAGCAUG
rnacentral:rRNA from 1 species